rnacentral:lncRNA from 1 species
CCAGGGAUAGGGCUGAUAUACUCUGAAUUGGCAACAGGAGUCCCAUCUAUCUUCUCUCACUUUGUUACGAAUCUCCCUGCAUUUCACAGUGUGCUGGUGUUUGUAUGUGUCAAAUCUGUUCCAGUUCCAUUUGUCUCACCUGAGGAGCGCUUCCUCAUUGGUCGCAUUUGCCCAAGGCCCUAUCGCAUGUACCGUUGCAUUGUCAGAUAUGGUUACAAGGACAUACAGCGAGAUGAUGGGAAUUUUGAGGACCUUCUCAUCCGGAGUAUAGCAGAGUUCAUCCAAAUGGAAGCAGUAGAGCCACAACUGUCAAGCUCUGAGAGUCCAUCAUUUGAUGGGAGGAUGGCAGUUAUAAGCACAAGAAGUGUACAGUCAGGCUCAACGUUACUUGUCUCAGAGGAAAUCUCCCUGCAUUUCAUAGUGUGCUGGUGUUUGUAUGUGUCAAAUCUGUUCCAGUUCCAUUUGUCUCACCUGAGGAGCGCUUCCUCAUUGGUCGCAUUUGCCCAAGACCCUAUCGCAUGUACCGUUGCAUUGUCAGAUAUGGUUACAAGGACAUACAGCGAGAUGAUGGGAAUUUUGAGGACCUUCUCAUCCAGAGUAUAGCAGAGUUCAUCCAAAUGGAAGCAGUCGAGCCACAACUGUCAAGCUCUGAGAGUCCAUCAUUUGAUGGGAGGAUGGCAGUUAUAAGCACAAGAAGUGUACAGUCAGGCUCAACGUUACUUGUCUC